GCAUAUCAAUAAGCGGAGGAAAAGAAACCAACAGGGAUUGCCCUAGUAACGGCGAGUGAAGCGGCAACAGCUCAAAUUUGAAAUCUGGCCCCCCGGCCCGAGUUGUAAUUUGUAGAGGAUGCUUCUGGGUAGCGACCGGUCUAAGUUCCUUGGAACAGGACGUCAUAGAGGGUGAGAAUCCCGUAUGCGACCGGCCCGCGCCCUCCACGUAGCUCCUUCGACGAGUCGAGUUGUUUGGGAAUGCAGCUCUAAAUGGGAGGUAAAUUUCUUCUAAAGCUAAAUACCGGCCAGAGACCGAUAGCGCACAAGUAGAGUGAUCGAAAGAUGAAAAGCACUUUGGAAAGAGAGUUAAAAAGCACGUGAAAUUGUUGAAAGGGAAGCGCUUACAACCAGACUUUGGGGCGGUGUUCCGCCGGUCUUCUGACCGGUCUACUCUCCGUCCCGAGGCCAACAUCAUCUGGGACCGCCGGACAAGACCUCAGGAAUGUAGCUCCCCCUCGGGGGAGUGUUAUAGCCUGUGGUGAUGCGGCGCGUCCCGGGUGAGGUCCGCGCUUCGGCAAGGAUGUUGGCGUAAUGGUUGUCAGCGGCCCGUCUUGAAACACGGACCAAGGAGUCUAACAUCUAUGCGAGUGUUCGGGUGUCAAACCCCUACGCGGAAUGAAAGUGAACGGAGGUGGGAAGGGGCAACCCUGCACCAUCGACCGAUCCUGAUGUCCUCGGAUGGAUUUGAGUAAGAGCAUAGCUGUUGGGACCCGAAAGAUGGUGAACUAUGCCUGAAUAGGGUGAAGCCAGAGGAAACUCUGGUGGAGGCUCGCAGCGGUUCUGACGUGCAAAUCGAUCGUCAAAUUUGGGUAUAGGGGCGAAAGACUAAUCGAACCAUCUAGUAGCUGGUUCCUGCGA
rnacentral:rRNA from 1 species